CGCCCGGGAUACCCCGGAAGGAUGGCGACUUUAGACUACAGGGCCCUCCUCCUGCUGUUGGUGGUCGCUCUGGCUGUUACCCAUACUGGCGCCGGCUCCCACUCUCUGCGCUAUUUCCACACCGCCCUGUCACGACCGGGCCCUGGGGAGCCCCAGUACAUCUCUGUUGGCUACGUGGACGACAAGCAGUUCCAGCGGUGCGAUAGCAAUGAGGAGAUCCCGAGAAUGGAGCCACGUGCGCCGUGGAUGGAGCGGGAAGGACCGGAGUAUUGGGAAGAGCUGAAACACAAAGUGAAGAACAUUGCACAAGAGGCUAGAGCGAUCCUUCGGACCCUGCUCCGCUACUACAACCAGAGUGAAGACGGUUCUCACAUCCUGCAGUGGAUGGUUGGCUGCGAUGUGGGGUCAGACAUGCACCUUCUUGGCGCAUACUAUCAGUUCGCCUACGAUGGCCGGGAUUACAUCACCCUGAACGAGGACCUGCGCUCCUGGACUGCCGGGGACAUGGUGGCUCAGAUCUCAAGGCGCAAGUUGGAGUCCGAUGGUGCCGCAGAGUACUUCAGGGCCUAUGUGGAGGGGGAGUGCCUGGAGCUGCUCCACAGAUUCCUGCAGAAUGGGAAGGAGACUCUGCAGCGAGCUGACCCACCAAAGGCACAUGUGGCCUAUCACCCUGGAUCUGAAGGUGACAUCACCCUGAGAUGCUGGGCCUUGGGCUUCUACCCUGCUGAGAUCUCCCUGACCUGGCAGCGGGAUGGGGAAGACUGGACUCAGGAUAUGGAGCUUGUGGAGACAAGGCCUUCAGGAGAUGGGACCUUCCAGAAGUGGGCAGCUGUGGUGGUGCCUUCCGGGGAGGAGCAGAGAUACACAUGUCAUGUGCACCAUGAGGGCCUAACUGAGCCCCUCACCCUGAGAUGGGAGAGAUCCUCUCAAUCCUCUAUCCUCAUCAUCAUCAUCAUUGCUGGUCUGGUUCUCCUCGGAACUGUGGUCACUACGGCUGUGGUGUGCAAGAAGAGGAGCUCAGGUGAAAGAAGCAUCAGUUAUACUCAGACUGCCAGCAGGAACAGUGCUGAAGGCUCUGAUGCUUCUGUCACCAUUUAGAAAGUUGGCAUCUCACUCUGUCUCCUGUCAGCACAAUGUGAUGAAGUGGGCAGCUGACACCAACUCUGAGGCCUGAGUCUCUUCCCCAUGCCUGUGUCUUAUCCCCAGUCUCUCCUGUUUUACCACAGGCAGAGAUGGGACUUCCCCAUUCCUCAUGGAACUUCAGGUUUCUCUAAGCUGUGGCUUCCUAUUUCCCUACUGAAAGUGGGCAGGAGAAGUCUGGAGAGCAGAGUGUGGCUAGAUUUUGUCAGUGCUGCAUAUGUGGGCGUGGAUGCAGUCAUCUCCUCUGCCCUUGAACCUCAGCAGAAUGAAAUGGAUUUGGCAGAGGAUUCCAAAGAAGAAAUCUCCUUGAGUCUCAGAAGAAACUUUGGACUUAGAAAUCUUAAACUGUAUAGAGACUGUGAAAAACUAUGGGGCCUUUCGAAAUUGGACUAAACACAUUUUGCAUAUGAUAUGGCCACAAGCCUAUGGGCUUCAUGGAAUGGAAUGUGGUGGUUUGAAUAAGAAUGGCCCCCAUAGGCUCAAGUAUUUGAAUAUUUGGUCCCCAGGUGGUGGAACUGUUUGAGAAGGAUUAAGAGGUGUGGCGUUGUUGGAAGAGGUGUGUCACUGGGGCUGGGUUUUGAGGGUUAAAAUGUCCACACUAUUCCUAGUUAGCUUUCCCUGCCUCCUGACUGUGUCUCCAGAUGUAAGCUUCAGCUACUGCUCCAGAACCAUCCCAACCUGCCUCCUGCCAUGCUCCACAAAAUGGUAACCAUGGCUCUAACACUUUGCAACUGUGAGCCCCCAAUUAAUUGUUUUCUUUUAUACGUUGACUUUGUCAUGGUAUUUUUGCAUGACAAUAGAAAAGUAACUAAACAGAUGAAUCCACUCAUUGGUCAUCCAAUGUAGAGUGGUCAGCCCUGAAACCACAUAUACAUAAACAACAAACAUGGACUUGGAAGAUUUCAUAUGUGUAUAUAUAAACAUAUACAUACAUAGUAUUUUAACAAUAAUCAAAGAAAAAGUGGCUAUCAAGUUGAGCAUCGAGAAGGGAUUCAGGAGAGUUCAAGGGAGGGUAAAACUGGAAUGGGCUGAAGCAGUGGUUCUCAACCUUUCUAAUACUGUGACUCUUUAAUGCAGCACCUAAUAUGGCAAGCCACACUAUAAGAUUAUUUUGUUGCAGUGGGAACAUAGGCUCUUUCCAACUCUUUUACUGGCUUUAGGGGCACUACUCCUCAUACUAGGUUGCCUUGCCCAGCCUUAAUACAUGGGAAAGGUGCUUAGUCUUAUUGCAACUUGAUAUGCCAUAUUUUGUUGAUUAUCAUGG